UACGGAGGGUGCAAACGUUGCUCGGAAUCAUUGGGCGUAAAGCGCACGUAGGCGGACCGCUAAGUCGGAUGUGAAAGCCCUCGGCUUAACCGAGGAAGUGCAUUCGAAACUGACAGUCUUGAGUAUGGAAGAGGGAUGUGGAAUUCCCGGUGUAGUGGUGAAAUGCGUAGAUAUCGGGAGGAACAUCCGUGGCGAAGGCGACUACCUGGACCAGCACUGACACUGAGGCACGAAAGCGUGGGGAGCAAACAGG
rnacentral:rRNA from 1 species